GGCAAGGGGAUGCAAAACUUCGGAAAUAUUGAAGGCUUUAUUUUGUAUUUUUUUCUCUCCCCCUUUCUGUUCGCCCCCUAAACAGCGAUAACUUCUCUCUGACCCCAAAGUGACACCGUUUCUAUGUUGUUUCUGAUUAAUCUUGCCCAUUGACAGUCUUUGUUAAACAACAAGGCGUGCCCUUCCCCAACGAGGCGACAUUUUCAUAUUUGUUAGACGCAGUGACCUGAAGCUCACCCCGGACUUGGACUUCGGUUUUCCAGGGUCUACUCGACUCUGGGUAGAUUACGGAGCACUUAGCACCAGUCAGCACCUAACAGCGCCCCAAAAAUAUAUUUUUUAAAACCAGUACAAAACCCACGAUAAAGCGUAGGUCCAUCUGAAAAAGCCUUGCGUCGACUGUGCCACUCCUGUAGGUAAUGUUAGCCAACUAAACUGAAGUUUCGGUGUCUCCUGGUCAAUGUUUUCUUUAGAAUAGUAUAAAUAUGUAUAUGUGUUGAAUUUGUUUCACAUUGUUAGGCUUCUGUUAAUGUUUCUCACCUAGGCUCAUGUUUUUCCUGUUCAAACAAGGUCCUCCUCGGAGCUUUGUAUGUGUAAGCCAUCGCUAUGGGAUUUUCAUUUUAGUCAGAUAUAGGCCUAUAUGGCCUUUUAAGCAUCUAAAUAGCCAAAGUUGUUAGGUGUUAUAUUACAAUUGAGUGUAUUUUACACCUGUAACUCAUCGUGAAUGACAAGGGGAAUCUUUUUUGUUGUUGAGGAUCUGGCCUCCAGAACGCAUGUAACCAAGACCACCUGAGGGUCUAUCUAUCAGCAUAAUGUCCACGAUCCCUUGUCUGUUAGGAGGACCAGGCUGCAGAGGACAAUGUUCCCUCAGUAUUCACGAGGCGGUUAAGCUGGCUGCAGGUGACACUGAACUUGGCCUAAAGCGAGCUCUGCUGGUGGCUGGAGGAUGCAGAUUUAUCUUGCUGCUAUGGCUGACCUCGCGGUGAACCGCGCACGGGGGAUGGUUAAUUUUUUUCUGCCUGGCAUUGUCUGCCUAGGACCCCGAUUUAAGAUGAUUUUAUGUGUAACAACGGUGUAAUUUUCGCCCCAGACUUCACAAUGAUAUUGGCAUAGAAUAACGGUUUCUCUUUCAUGUUCUACACCAUACAACUGUAAUGGAAAUGAAGUCCAAUUUCAUUGCAUUGGCUAUUUGUUUACAAGACGGAAUCUUCUAUGUCGACUGUUAGGGGAAGGGGGAGCGGGGAUCAACCCACCUCAAAUCAUCAGAUGAUUCAGAGUUUCAAUUCCAUCUACGUACUGACAUAUUAUACUUUGAGGGUUUAGUUUCUAUAUAAACACUUUUCAUUGCA
ensembl:lncRNA